GGCUAGCAUGGCAUAGUGGUUUGAGCAUUAGACUACAACUCUGGAGAUCAGGGUUUGAUUCCCAGUUCAGUCA